UUGCAGUCGCUUCUUUUUCGUUUUCUGUCUCUUGUUCAGACUUUCUCUCUCUUCCUUUGAAUGCUCUCUAAAGCGGUUUCAUUUCUUUGGUUUCGCAUAUCGAAUUCUUCAAAUUGGUUUAUUUAAGUUCUUUGAUUUGCUGUUUCUGGUUGUUUCUGGAGAGCACUUUUAAGGUUGGAUCUUAGAGCUGGAGAUGGUGCACACUGAUAUUGACUGGUAGAGCGUGUUAUGUAAUCUGCUUUGGGAUAUAUGGUUAUGAAGAAAUGCUUGGGUUUUUGAAGGGAAGAUGGUUGAUCUAGCUGGGAUUCAACAAAAAGCUAUGAGCAUAAUUGGAGAGUAUAAGAAAGCCAAUGAAGCUACAUCAAUUAUUAAUCUGGGUGCUGCUAGUGUUGUGGCCUGAGUUGGGUUGGUAUAAGGUUCCAUGGCAUUCCCGAGUGUACUUAGAGGCUUCCCUUGGCCGAGCUUUGAAGUGUAGAAGAAGGCAUAAAGGUUAAGGAGGAGAAGAAUAAAGAAGGAGCUUUCAAGCAAGGAGUUCGCUCGAACUAGCAUGAAGUUUGCCCGAAUCUAGAGGUUCGAACCCCUUAGAAGUUUGGUCGAGCUUUCACACAAGCUACUUUGAUGAUUUUUGGAUUUUGGAGGUUCGGCUAAACUAUUAAAAGGUUCGUCAGAACCUAGCACAGGGAGGUUCGCCUGAACCUACCCUCAGUUCGGUCGAACCUAACCUCUGUUCAGCCGAACCAUUGCUCGAUUAUAACCUAGUUUUGUACGGGCUAUAUAAGCCUUUAGUUAAGACGUUUUCAAGAUAACUUAGCUUAGCCUAAUCUUAGGGUUCUUAGCUUAAUUCUAGAGAGAGAAACACUUAGUUUUAUGAUUUUGGAUGAUUUGUACUCAAUAUUUUGAAGAUUAAUGAAGCUCCAUUAGUAAUUUUUUCCCUUAACUCUUUAUUUGCUUGCUUUAUGUUCUUUAUUUUCUUA